AGCAGUAGCCGCGGUAAUACAGAGGGUGCGAGCGUUAAUCGGAUUUACUGGGCGUAAAGCGUGCGUAGGCGGCUUUUUAAGUCGGAUGUGAAAUCCCUGAGCUUAACUUAGGAAUUGCAUUCGAUACUGGGAAGCUAGAGUAUGGGAGAGGAUGGUAGAAUUCCAGGUGUAGCGGUGAAAUGCGUAGAGAUCUGGAGGAAUACCGAUGGCGAAGGCAGCCAUCUGGCCUAAUACUGACGCUGAGUUACGAAAGCAUGGGGAGCAAACAGGAUUAGAUACCCGCGUAGUCCCUGUCUCUUAUAC
rnacentral:rRNA from 1 species